rnacentral:rRNA from 1 species
UACGUAGGGGGCAAGCGUUGUCCGGAUUUAUUGGGCGUAAAGAGCGUGUAGGCGGCUUUACAGGUCCGUUGUGAAAACUCGAGGCUCAACCUCGAGACGCCGGUGGAAACCGUAAGGCUAGAGUCCGGAAGAGGAGAGUGGAAUUCCUGGUGUAGCGGUGAAAUGCGCAGAUAUCAGGAAGAACACCCGUGGCGAAGGCGGCUCUCUGGACGGCAACUGACGCUGAGGCACGAAAGCUAGGGGAGCAAACGGG